GAUGAACGCUGGCGGCAGGCCUAACACAUGCAAGUCGAGCGGCAGCGGGUCGUAGCAGUACGAUGCCGGCGAGCGGCGGACGGGUGAGGAAUACAUCGGAAUCUACCCAGUCGUGGGGGAUAACGUAGGGAAACUUACGCUAAUACCGCAUACGACCUGAGGGUGAAAGCAGGGGACCGCAAGGCCUUGCGCGAUUGGAUGAGCCGAUGUCGGAUUAGCUAGUUGGUGAGGUAAAGGCUCACCAAGGCGACGAUCCGUAGCUGGUCUGAGAGGAUGAUCAGCCACACUGGAACUGAGACGCGGUCCAGACUCCUACGGGAGGCAGCAGUGGGGAAUAUUGGACAAUGGGCGCAAGCCUGAUCCAGCCAUGCCGCGUGUGUGAAGAAGGCCUUCGGGUUAUAAAGCACUUUUGUCCGGGAAGAAAUCUUCCGACCUAAUACGUCGGGAGGAUGACGGUACCGGAAGAAUAAGCACCGGCUAACUUCGUGCCAGCCGCCGCAGUAACAC
rnacentral:rRNA from 1 species